rnacentral:rRNA from 1 species
GGUUAAGCUACAAAGGGCGCAAGGAGAAUGCCUUGGCACUGGGAGCCGACGAAGGACGUGACAAGCUGCGAUAAGCUGCGGGGAGGAGCAAAUAUCCAUCGAUCCGCAGAUUUCCGAAUGGGGAAACCCGGCGGCGCAAUACGCCGUCAACAUACAUUGAAUCCAUAGGUGUAUGUGGGGAACCGCCUGAACUGAAACAUCUAAGUAGGGCGAGGAAGAGAAAUCAACAGAGAUUCCGCUAGUAGUGGCGAGCGAACGCGGAAGAGGCCAAACCGGAAGACUUCGGUUUUCCGGGGUUUUGGACAGCAUUUAGCAUUCACAAGCUUUAGCAGAAAGGCAUGGGAAGGCCUGCCGCAGAGGGUGAGAGCCCCGUAUGCGAAAAGGUGAGUGAGCGAGCUGUAUCCAGAGUACCGCGGGACACGUGAAACCCCGUGGGAAGACGGGUGGACCACCAUCCAAGCCUAAAUACUACCCAGUGACCGAUAGUGAAGCAGUACCGUGAGGGAAAGGUGAAAAGAACCCCGGGAGGGGAGUGAAAUAGCACCUGAAACCUUGUGCCUACAAGCACAGAGAGCCCGUUAAUGGGUGAUCUGGUACCUUUUGUAGAAUGGUCCGGCGAGUUACUGUAUGCAGCAAGGUUAAGCGACUUGAGUCGCGGAGCCGCAGGGAAACCGAGUGUGAAUAGCGCGUAUGAAGUUGCAUGUAGUAGACCCGAAACCGGGUGACCUAUCCAUGGCCAGGCUGAAGUGACGGUAAAACGUCAUGGAGGGCCGAACCGACCCCCGUUGCAAUGGUGGCGGAUGAGUUGUGGAUAGCGGAGAAAUUCCAAUCGAACCCGGAGAUAGCUGGUUCUCCCCGAAAUAGUUUUAGGACUAGCGUCAGGAUAGAUUAACGGAGGUAGAGCACUGAAUGGGCUAGGGGCCGACAAGGUUACCGAACCCUAUCAAACUCCGAAUGCCGUAUAAUCGUUUCCUGGCAGUCAGACUGCGUGAGAUAAGUUUCGUAGUCAAGAGGGAAACAGCCCAGACCCACGUCUAAGGUCCCUAAUAACCGCUAAGUGGAAAAGGAUGUGAAGUUGCGCAGACAACCAGGAUGUUGGCUUAGAAGCAGCCACACAUUCAAAGAGUGCGUAAUAGCUCACUGGUCAAGUGGCUUCGCGCCGAAAAUGUAACGGGGCUAAGCGGUUAACCGAAGACUGGGCUGACGGACAGAUAACAGAGAACAGAUACCGGAUAACAGAUGAAGGACGAAUAUGAGUACGGACAGUAUUCUUUUAGAGAAGAGCAUGGAGUUCGCGGUAAGAAUCGUGAAGGCAUAUCAAUAUUUGGAGAGCGAAAAGAAAGAGUUUGUCAUGAGCAAACAGCUUUUGAAGAGCGGAACAAGUAUUGGAGCGAAUGUUCGUGAAGGCAUUUACGGACAGAGCAGAAACGAUUUUACAGCGAAGAUGAGCAUUGCUCUGAAAGAAGCGGUUGAAACGGAAUAUUGGCUUGAACUGUUAUCACGGACAGGAUACCUGACAGAGAAACAGUAUGAUGAUAUACGCAGAGAUGCGAGUGCGCUUGCAAAGAUGUUGACAGCAACGGUGAGGCGCAUGAGGCAAGAGACGUAAUCAUAUCUGUUAUCUGAUAUCUGUUAUGUGUUAUCUGCCCGUCGGGGUAGGGGAGCGUCGAAUACGGGGCGAAGCAUGAGCGGAAGCACAUGUGGACUGUAUUCGAGUGAGAAUGCCGGAAUGAGUAGCGAGAAUUAUGUGGGAAUCAUAAUGGCCGAAAAUCUAAGGUUUCUUGGGGAAGGUUCGUCCGCCCAAGGUAAGCCGGGAGCUAAGGCGAGGCCGAAAGGCGUAGUCGAUGCACACACGGUGGAAAUUCCGUGGCCGCCGAACUUUAAACCAGAGGGACACUUCCAGAUAUCCGAACCCGGGCGUUGGUUGCCCCGGGCCUGAAAAGGGGACCGAACUUUAAGUAGGGAAGUCGGAGACUCCGGGAGGCAAGAAAAGCUCUGGCGUAUACUAAGGCGCCCGUACCGCAAACCGACACAGGUAGAUGAGGAGAGAAUCCUAAGGCCAACGGGAGAAGGGUUGUUAAGGAACUCGGCAAAUUGACCCCGUAACUUCGGGAUAAGGGGUGCCUGCGCAAGCAGGCCGCAGAGAAUUGGCCCAAGCGACUGUUUACCAAAAACACAGGUCUCUGCAAAGUCGAAAGACGACGUAUAGGGGCUGACGCCUGCCCAGUGCCGGAAGGUUAAGAGGAGGGGUUAGGAACUUCGGUUCCGAAGCUCUGAAUUGAAGCCCCGGUGAACGGCGGCCGUAACUAUAACGGUCCUAAGGUAGCGAAAUUCCUUGUCAGGUAAGUUCUGACCCGCACGAAUGGCGUAACGAUUUGGGCACUGUCUCGACAGCCCGCCCGGCGAAAUUGUAGUACCGGUGAAGAUGCCGGUUACCCGCGACUAGACGGAAAGACCCCAUGGAGCUUUACUGCAGCUUGAUACUGGAUCCCGGUAUUUCAUGUAGAGGAUAGGUGGGAGACUUGGAAGCGUUGGCGUCAGCUGGCGUGGAGUCAUCCUUGGAAUACCACCCUUGGAGUGCUGGGGUUCUAACCUACGCCCUUGAAUCAGGGCGGGGGACACUGUCAGGUGGGCAGUUUGACUGGGGCGGUCGCCUCCAAAAGCGUAACGGAGGCGCUCAAAGGUUGGCUCAGCACGGAUGGAAAUCGUGCAUAGAGUGCAAACGCGUAAGCCAGCCUAACUGCGAGACCGACGGGUCGAGCAGUAACGAAAGUUGGAGUUAGUGAUCCGGCGGUAUGUGAGUGGAAAUGCCGUCGCUCAACGGAUAAAAGCUACCCUGGGGAUAACAGGCUGAUCUCCCCCAAGCGUCCACAGCGACGGGGAGGUUUGGCACCUCGAUGUCGGCUCGUCACAUCCUGGGGCUGUAUUCGGUCCCAAGGGUUCGGCUGUUCGCCGAUUAAAGUGGCACGCGAGCUGGGUUCAGAACGUCGUGAGACAGUUCGGUCCCUAUCUGUCGUGGGCGUAAGAGAUUUGAAGGGAGCUGUCCCUAGUACGAGAGGACCGGGAUGGACGUACCUCUGGUGCACCAGUUGUCCUGCCAAGGGCACCGCUGGGUAGCUAUGUACGGACGAGAUAAACGCUGAAAGCAUCUAAGCGUGAAACUCUCCUUAAGAUGAGAUCUCUCCACCCUUGUGGUGGUAAGGCCCCAGGUGGACUACCUGGUUGAUAGGCCGGAGGUGUAAGCAUGGUAACAUGUUCAGCUGACCGGUACUAAUAGGCCGAGGGCUUAACCUU